rnacentral:rRNA from 1 species
UGGGGAAUAUUGGACAAUGGGCGCAAGCCUGAUCCAGCAAUGCCGCGUGUGUGAAGAAGGCCUUCGGGUUGUAAAGCACUUUUAUCAGGAGCGAAACGCUGUCGGCUAAUACCCGGCGGAACUGACGGUACCUGAGGAAUAAGCACCGGCUAACUUCGUGCCAGCAGCCGCGGUAAUACGAAGGGUGCAAGCGUUAAUCGGAGUUACUGGGCGUAAAGCGUGCGUAGGCGGUUUCUUAAGUCUGCUGUGAAAUCCCCGGGCUCAACCUGGGAAUGGCAGUGGAUACUGGGAGGCUAGAGUGUGUCAGAGGGUGGUGGAAUUCCCGGUGUAGCGGUGAAAUGCGUAGAGAUCGGGAGGAACAUCAGUGGCGAAGGCGGCCACCUGGGACAACACUGACGCUGAGGCACGAAAGCGUGGGGAGCAAACAGGAUUAGAUACCCUGGUAGUCCACGCCCUAAACGAUGCGAACUGGAUGUUGGUCUCAACUCGGAGAUCAGUGUCGAAGCUAACGCGUUAAGUUCGCCGCCUGGGGGAGUACGGUCGCAAGACUGAAACUCAAAUGAAUUGACGGGGUCAUAGCUGUUUCCUG